AGAGUUUGAUCAUGGCUCAGAUUGAACGCUGGCGGCAGGCUUAACACAUGCAAGUCGAGCGGGGGAAGGUAGCUUGCUACCGGACCUAGCGGCGGACGGGUGAGUAAUGCUUAGGAAUCUGCCUAUUAGUGGGGGACAACAUCUCGAAAGGGAUGCUAAUACCGCAUACGUCCUACGGGAGAAAGCAGGGGAUCUUCGGACCUUGCGCUAAUAGAUGAGCCUAAGUCGGAUUAGCUAGUUGGUGGGGUAAAGGCCUACCAAGGCGACGAUCUGUAGCGGGUCUGAGAGGAUGAUCCGCCACACUGGGACUGAGACACGGCCCAGACUCCUACGGGAGGCAGCNNNNNNNNNNNNNNNNNGAGAUGGUCUAUAAUGCACAUCCAUCGGCGGUGAUGCAGAUAGAAACUUGUUGAAAAACAGUUACUUGUGAUUAGAUUGGUUGCUUUAAGCGAUGAAUUUGAUGGGAAGUUGGUUUAGAGAAUAAGUUUUAAAAAUAUCGAAAUUACCUGUUGACUUUUAAGAGAUUAAGAGUAAUAUAGCCGACCUAGCUUGCUGGUGACGAACCAGUAAGAAGAUCAUUAAGAGAAUUGAAGAACAACUUGUGUGGAUUUUUACUGAUUGAUUAAUCGAAAUAAUUUUCAUUGAUUGAUUGGUUUAAAUUACUCGAAGUUUAUUUGAGCGAAAUUUAAGUCAGUAAUUGAUGAGCCAGAAUUGGCACCUUGUCUAUAAAUAAGGUGCAAAAUGAUUUUAACUGAAGAGUUUGAUCAUGGCUCAGAUUGAACGCUGGCGGCAGGCUUAACACAUGCAAGUCGAGCGGGGGAAGGUAGCUUGCUACCGGACCUAGCGGCGGACGGGUGAGUAAUGCUUAGGAAUCUGCCUAUUAGUGGGGGACAACAUCUCGAAAGGGAUGCUAAUACCGCAUACGUCCUACGGGAGAAAGCAGGGGAUCUUCGGACCUUGCGCUAAUAGAUGAGCCUAAGUCGGAUUAGCUAGUUGGUGGGGUAAAGGCCUACCAAGGCGACGAUCUGUAGCGGGUCUGAGAGGAUGAUCCGCCACACUGGGACUGAGACACGGCCCAGACUCCUACGGGAGGCAGCAGUGGGGAAUAUUGGACAAUGGGGGGAACCCUGAUCCAGCCAUGCCGCGUGUGUGAAGAAGGCCUUAUGGUUGUAAAGCACUUUAAGCGAGGAGGAGGCUACUUUAGUUAAUACCUAGAGAUAGUGGACGUUACUCGCAGAAUAAGCACCGGCUAACUCUGUGCCAGCAGCCGCGGUAAUACAGAGGGUGCGAGCGUUAAUCGGAUUUACUGGGCGUAAAGCGUGCGUAGGCGGCUUAUUAAGUCGGAUGUGAAAUCCCCGAGCUUAACUUGGGAAUUGCAUUCGAUACUGGUGAGCUAGAGUAUGGGAGAGGAUGGUAGAAUUCCAGGUGUAGCGGUGAAAUGCGUAGAGAUCUGGAGGAAUACCGAUGGCGAAGGCAGCCAUCUGGCCUAAUACUGACGCUGAGGUACGAAAGCAUGGGGAGCAAACAGGAUUAGAUACCCUGGUAGUCCAUGCCGUAAACGAUGUCUACUAGCCGUUGGGGCCUUUGAGGCUUUAGUGGCGCAGCUAACGCGAUAAGUAGACCGCCUGGGGAGUACGGUCGCAAGACUAAAACUCAAAUGAAUUGACGGGGGCCCGCACAAGCGGUGGAGCAUGUGGUUUAAUUCGAUGCAACGCGAAGAACCUUACCUGGCCUUGACAUACUAGAAACUUUCCAGAGAUGGAUUGGUGCCUUCGGGAAUCUAGAUACAGGUGCUGCAUGGCUGUCGUCAGCUCGUGUCGUGAGAUGUUGGGUUAAGUCCCGCAACGAGCGCAACCCUUUUCCUUACUUGCCAGCAUUUCGGAUGGGAACUUUAAGGAUACUGCCAGUGACAAACUGGAGGAAGGCGGGGACGACGUCAAGUCAUCAUGGCCCUUACGGCCAGGGCUACACACGUGCUACAAUGGUCGGUACAAAGGGUUGCUACACAGCGAUGUGAUGCUAAUCUCAAAAAGCCGAUCGUAGUCCGGAUUGGAGUCUGCAACUCGACUCCAUGAAGUCGGAAUCGCUAGUAAUCGCGGAUCAGAAUGCCGCGGUGAAUACGUUCCCGGGCCUUGUACACACCGCCCGUCACACCAUGGGAGUUUGUUGCACCAGAAGUAGCUAGCCUAACUGCAAAGAGGGCGGUUACCACGGUGUGGCCGAUGACUGGGGUGAAGUCGUAACAAGGUAGCCGUAGGGGAACCUGCGGCUGGAUCACCU
rnacentral:rRNA from 1 species